rnacentral:lncRNA from 1 species
AGAGCUCAAAAAACACAGCAAGCCGAGCAGAGUCUGGGGUUCAAGGGUGACUCUGUACUGUAAGCGCACAAGAGAAACUGGAUAACUUUCGGUCUUCCCCAACUGGGGUUUUAAGAUUUUACUUGAAGAUUGAAAUAUUAGUAUUUUAUUAUUAAUAACUACUAUGCCCCCUCGACGUCCCCCCCCACAAAUCACCAAAAUAAUCUCAUGUAAAAUACAAGUUUAUAUAGUUAAUAUUUGGAUAAUGUGCAG